rnacentral:rRNA from 1 species
UGCGUAGGGUGCGAGCGUUAAUCGGAAUUACUGGGCGUAAAGCGCACGUAGGCGGCUUCUUAAGUCGGUGGUGAAAUCCUGGAGCUCAACUCCAGAACUGCCUUCGAUACUGGGAGCUCGAGUCCGGGAGAGGUGAGUGGAACUGCGAGUGUAGAGGUGAAAUUCGUAGAUAUUCGCAAGAACACCAGUGGCGAAGGCGGCUCACUGGCCCGGUACUGACGCUGAGGUGCGAAAGCGUGGGGAGCAAACAGG